CCCCUCGGCCGCGCCUUCGCGGCGGGCGAUGUUAGUGGGCUUGGGCGUUGGGUGAAGUAUCCAGGUUGGGCGCUUCCAGCGCUUUCUGUGGCGGGGGAAUGAAGGCCUAGGUCAGGGAAUAGGAAGGUGUAUCGCCGCCAGAGUGCGGAACACCCUCGCCUUGAGGGUUCCCACAGUGACUUGCAAAAGUCUAGUGAGACCCGAGAAUGCUGAGGCGGGACACGAAGCAUGUGGUUCUUGUGGUUGCGACGCUCGUGCCGCCAUCUUGGGUGCUGGCGGCGGAAACCGGUACCCCAACUUCCCCUCGGUGCGAACCUGGAGAAGCCACCCCAGCUGUGAGGGACGGUUGCGCCUCAUGGCCCAGGCAAGGGUACCUUCGCUGGAGCAGUACCGCGGACGGAUAUCAUGAGGGUGGUGGGACGUUGGCGGAACGUUGGCGGAACGUUGGCGGUGUGAGAGGUGUGGGGUAAUGGCGAUUUUUGUCAUGGUAGAAACAGCCCAAAGGACCCCCCUCGUUUGGCCUCCCACGCAGCUUAGUCUUGCUUUUUUAGGGAUGUUUCUCAUUUUUUAAUUUCUCCAGUCCCAUCUGGUUAUAUUGCCAAAACAUGUUUGUGACUCUCAAACGUUAGUUUACUCCCAGCAUCACUUGGGGAGCUUGCUAAGCUACGAAUUCCGAGGUCCCACUGGAGAGUCUGAUUUAAUGACCCUGGAGUGGCGGCCGGAUAACCUGCCUGCUGGGGUGAUUUUAACGCAGCUGAUGCGAAGACCCCAUUUAGGGAAUCAUUGGGUUGGCGUUUGCAAUGCGUUCCUCCCAGCUAUAGGACAAAGAGGUGUCAACUCAACUGUGUCUUCUUAGAAGAGCCCAUUAUUUAUAGGCUGGACUGGAACUCCUGG
rnacentral:lncRNA from 1 species